rnacentral:rRNA from 1 species
GACGAACGCUGGCGGCGUGCUUAACACAUGCAAGUCGAACGGUGAAGCGCCUUCCUUUUUGGUGGGUGUGGAUGAGUGGCGAACGGGUGAGUAACACGUGAGUAACCUGCCCCCUUCUUCUGGAUAACCGCAUGAAAGUGUGGCUAAUACGGGAUAUGCUGUGUCUGUCGCAUGAUGGGUCUUGGAAAGAUAUUGUUUCGGUGGGGGAUGGGCUCGCGGCCUAUCAGCUUGUGGGUGGGGGGAUGGCCUACCAAGGCGGUGACGGGUAGCCGGCCUGGGAGGGUGGACGGCCACACUGGGAAUGAGCCGCGGACAAGCCUCCGACGGGAGGCAGUGGGGGAGAAUAGUGCACGGUGGGAGGCAGGAUGCUGCCGCGCCGCCGCGUGAGGGAUGGAGGUCUGCGUGUUGUGAACCUCUUUCGCCAGUGAAGCAGGGCUGCCUAGUUUGUGGGUGGGUUGACGGUAGCUGGAGAAGAAGCGCCGGCUAACUACGUG